GAGUCCCUGAUGCUAAAAGGACAAGGUGAUCUUCAAAUUCUGUUUUCAGUGUGAUCAUGUUGCUGUCUCCUCCACAUUCUUCAGUAGCAUCUGGGUACUGACUUUUCAAUGAUGUGUCUUAAGAUGGAUCUAUUGCUAUUCAUAGGACUGGGAACAUGGUCACAUGGAGAAAACUGAGGACCAGCGAAGUGGCCUGCAGAAGUAACAAACUCCUUAACAAGUGCUAUGGCACCAGCUCAUCAGAAUGGACACUGGCUUUAAUGGUAUUAACUGAGUCCUAAAGGCCCUCUUCUCCUUAUUUCCUGAAUAUUGGGAAGAUCCAAAGGUUUCUGCAACAAAGGGGACAACCAAGUAAAUGGUGGAGGAGGAUCUUUUAGGGGCUCGUGGCUGAAGCCACUUUGUCUACCAGAAUGGCACCAUUUCAAUAUUUUGUCAAUGAAUAUAGCUACACCUAUGCUUAUUAAACAAGUCUGGUGACAUAAUUGUCCCAAGUUCAUACAGUCAGUAGAAUUUGCCAUCAAACAACUUUAAAACAACUUUUCAGGAAUAUAACUACUAUGCCACAUGAAAUACCCACCUUCUGGGAUAUUGAAGCAAAAGCUUUUCAACUGCUAAAUAGGCACAUGAUCUUUAUACCAUUGGUAUAAUGUCACGUACAUUUGUGUGCAGAUUACCACAUCCCUGAAAACUGCUCCCUCAGAUGUUGUGUAUGGGGUAAUUGAUGCUUUAGGCCUAAAAAUCUAAAUAAGCUGACACUUUUAUUUUCAGAAGUGCCUGCAAGGGGUGCAAUUCAAAAAAAUUACAUUUCAACCUGGCUGAUUGGCUAAUAAAAUGAAAGUAGUUUGUAACAAAUAAACAAGUAAAGGAUAUG
rnacentral:lncRNA from 1 species